GAUGAACGCUGGCGGCGUGCUUAACACACGCAAGUCGAACGAAGCACUUUAUUUGAUUUCCUUCGGGACUGAUUAUUUUGUGACUGAGUGGCGGACGGGUGAGUAACGCGUGGGUAACCUGCCUUGUACAGGGGGAUAACAGUUGGAAACGGCUGCUAAUACCGCAUAAGCGCACAGCAUCGCAUGAUGCAGUGUGAAAAACUCCGGUGGUAUAAGAUGGACCCGCGUUGGAUUAGCUAGUUGGAGAGGUAACGGCCCACCAAGGCGACGAUCCAUAGCCGACCUGAGAGGGUGACCGGCCACAUUGGGACUGAGACACGGCCCAAACUCCUACGGGAGGCAGCAGUGGGGAAUAUUGCACAAUGGGCGAAAGCCUGAUGCAGCGACGCCGCGUGAGCGAAGAAGUAUUUCGGUAUGUAAAGCUCUAUCAGCAGGGAAGAUAAUGACGGUACCUGACUAAGAAGCACCGGCUAAAUACGUG
rnacentral:rRNA from 1 species